UGAAGGUUUCUUUUUUGGAGAUCUCUGCCUACCUGAAGCUUUCUGAAGUGAAGAACUCCUGAGAAGUGGGAAGCAGUUAAAACUAGGGGAGAAGAGUAAGCUCACAUCCCUCCACUCAGUCACCUAAGAAAUAUUUUGGAAGCUUCCUGGACCAGAAGUGAACAUGUCACUGAAGUUGCCCUUUCCAACUUUCCUUUUUUUAACCCUAGAGAGUAUGGUUACAGCCCGUUUUAAUACCCCCCGUUAUGCCUGCAUGGGAGCUCUCCCUUGAUUGCGUGCGUGUUUUUUAUCCCUAGCGGAAGGGGAUGAUUUACUAGGUGUAAUUUCUCAGAGGAACUCUCAAUGCAAUGGGAGCAGCAGGGCAGAAAUAAGUUCAAAGUACCUCUGUAGACAGAUAAGGGUGCUGUCAGUAGGUAGGGAGGGAGCCAGAUAGGUCAGUGCCCCGAGUAGUGCGUUAAAACGUUACCUUUGGGAGUCAGAGCCCUGCUGCACGUUGCUGCGGCUGCGCUGCCACCUGGCGCUGCUUCCUGAGAUUACAGCCUCUCUUCGGCAGCGAGUUUGUGUGAAACAAGCGCCAAAGGACAGUGGGAAGACGCUGUUGCAGAAGCUUCGACUUGGUUGGGUUAUUACAUAAAUAGAUGCGAAUAUGACAGCGCGUGUGUGUAGGGUCAGGAGCAGUUCAGGGGGCGUGCUGAGUAACGGGAACGGACAAGGGCUGUUGGUCAGUUGUCACAGCCACAAGCAGAGUGCUUCGCAUUAGAUGUGAAAUGGAAAUAAAUAGUUAAAUCCAGCUCUCCAGCGCGCAGUGCUCCGAUCCUCGCAGCUGAGCCUCUGCUAACAGCACAGAGCUUAAAGAAUUGUUCGUUUUUCGUUGCUUUCUGGAGCUUUGUUGGGUUUGUACCUCCCUCAAACGCUUCAGUCCCCCAACACCUGAGAUUUUCUUUUUUUUUGUGCCGUCCUUAAAGAUGUCAGCUCGGUCCCGUAAGGGAAAGCAGCUCAGUGACACACCUGAGGAACGCUCCCGCCGCUCCGGACUACGUUUCCCAUGGUGCUCUGGGGCCGCCCCGCCGCGCCAUUGGCCGAGACGGCCGGAAGGGGCGGUGCGGGGACGGCCGCGGUCCGGCGGGCGGCAGCCGUGCGGGUCUGUGCGGAGCGACCGUCCCGAUGGCAGCGCUGAAGUACGCGGGGCUGGAGGACACGGAUAGCGAG